rnacentral:lncRNA from 1 species
UUGCUUGGCCUUUGACUCCUUAGCAACUAUAUCACCAAGGCAUAACUCAGUAUACUUAGCUACCGCCGCAACAAGGCCCAUAAGUACUAUUAAUAGCCUUAGCAACUAUAUCACCAAGGCAUAACUCAGUAGCAAUUAGUAUAUCACUCCGCCGCAACAAGGCCUCAGCAACGGGGAUUCAACUAUAACUGAAAAGAAACUCUACUUUGGCUGCUAUACCCAUGGCAACUGGCAACUAUGAAACGAGUUAUUAGUAAGUCUAUAUUUGUGGGAAGCUAUUCCGAGCCCCAACAAGUACUAAAAGUAGUAUAGUUGUUAGGUGUUUGUCACCUGUCUUCACGGGCAAUAAGAUAGUCAAGAGACCCUUAUAGUACUGAAGUUAUGAAUUGCUAUUUAAAAACACGGGGUUUAAUUCAAUUGAACAAGCGGCCCUGGUAGAGCGGAGACUGUAGAGGCGAGGGGAGUCUAGGUUCCUUCCAUCCAAACUGAAGUCUAUAUUUGCUAUCAAAAAACACUAAUACGUCGGGGGCUUCUGAAGCACGUAGAGAGGUCGGGUCUUAUCCUAGAUGCUACUAAGCUUUGGAGUGAUGUUAACAGACUUUCCUUUCCGGGCUUUGGGGAAGGGAGUUUUAGUAAAGAAGUGGGUAAUGUUCCAGAAAUAGCAUAUCCAGAAAUAGCAUAUAUAAUAAUGUUACUAAAAUAAGUAUAUAUAGGCAUAGGUAUAAGUAAUAAUGUUACUAAUUUCUUUCUUUCUUAAUAUCAAUUCUGUUCUCUUGCCUCUCUCGUCCCAAACUGGAGAUAAAACAAGCGAUGAAACUCUCACUGGCACUGCUCCUGCCUAAGAUCUUUCUCCUGGUCUUGCUUCUGCUGCAUCAUCUAAUCUAGCUUACUUUCGAACAAAUUCUUCUGUUGUUCCUGAACCUGGCAAUACUUUUCACGCCUCAUCAUUAAUGGAAUCCUUCUUAUCGAGCGCAUAAGAUCUGAUUGCAGGAAAAGAUUAGAGCUAAGAGCCUCUGAUUCUCUAAUGAAAAGGGGUGUCUAUACUCUGGCAACACCUCUGAUUUGUGCCGCUGCUUGUUGAAUCUAAUCCUGCUGCAUUAUCUUUAUUCUUCUCGAGUAGACAAUCGCAAUUACUUAACGGCACCCGGACUAUCACUCUACUUGGACCACUUAGUGCUUAAAAGCCUGAGAGAGAAUCCUCCCUUAAUCAACAAACGGAUCUGAAGCCGCCCUUACUAAUAGUGCUGAAGAUGGAGCUGGUAAGGAGGAGGAAGAAACUGAACGCGGAGUGUACUCCUUCUAUAGCCGAGGGUAGUGGUGCUUAAAGGCAAAGAAAGUCAGGGAUGGGGGUCGCGUGUUUAACGGGUUGAUGCAACUCCAAACUAUAUUGUUUCUGUGAUUAUUGAUUCUUAGAAGAUUGAAUUUACAUCUGGCUCCUCUAGUAGUAGAGGAUAUAUAUGCCCCGGCCGGGUAUUUUGUUUGUAGUAGUCGAACACAGGUACGAUUUAAACAUAUUAAGAUUUCAGAUAAGUUGUCAUGUUUUUCAACAGCUCUGGUAGAGUGGAAAGAGCCUAUGGUUGGGUAGUGACUGGCUUCUAUUCUAUAGAAUCUCUUGGGGGUGCUCCGGAGUCUGCUUACUUUAUACUUAAGCACUCAGGGUGGAUUUCUUUCUUAGUGCUAGUAGAUUGACUUGAUUUCUUGAUUGAUUUCUUUAUUAUAUAAGAUUGAAAUAAGAUCUAUUGAGAAGGUGAGUCGGGUCUGCAAAGGAGGAAUCAUACUCAUCUCAAGCAUAAACCUGAUCUGGUAAGUAAGCGGGUAUCUCGGGUUCAAGUAAGCAGUUAGAGCAGUUCGAAAGUCAGCUUAUGAAUUACCAGUGAUAGUUCUAGGUCCAGUUGAAUCCUUCUUAGUUUACAGAGGAGAGAAAGGCUUAGUUGCGAGGAAAGUGAACUAUACUCUUAGGGGGCAAGCAACGUUGUAAGUAUACGCACUAACGGAGUUCGCAGUCCAGUCCUUUUGAAUCGGAGGUGUAGUGGAGCCGGGGAAGACCUUCUGCUAAGAAUAUAGUUUCUCGGUAUUACACUCAAUAAUUGGCAAAUUCCCUAUGUUGGUCUUGCAGGCUUCCUUUCCCUACUUAACUGGCACAUAAAGCUCCUCCCCUUGCGAAGAAAGCAUGUAAAUGAACCCGACCCAUCCUUGAAGUGCAGAACCUAUUGCUGUUGACUUAAGAUAAAGAUUAGAAGCGGAAACAGAAGGUAGAUUGAUUUCCAGUUGUAGGAAAGUCUUCGAGAUAACUUAGGGGUGCUGGUAAGCUAUGUCUUUACUUGAGCCACUGGUAAGCUAUGUCUUUACUUGAGCCAGGUAUUAGGUAUUAUCGAAAGUGGUUUGGCUGUUCUUAUUCAAUUCCAUUCAAUUCGUUUUCUGGGAAAUCUAUCAUUGCAACUAGGAAACUUUCCUUAGAAUUCAUUUGAUCCUAUAAUCUUUAUAUCCUCUUGCUCUGUAACUAAGGUAGGGAGUAGGGAAAGACACUUGACUUCUGGCUUUUCUUACUGUGUUUCCUUCGAAAGGGAGUUGACAGUGAGACCCCGCUUACCUGGCAAACCUUACCUGGCAAACUGGAAUUCUGACAUCAUAGUACAGAGCACAUACAUGGUUGGUUACCAAUACAUCUCAUGCCUUGCUCAUUCUUCUUCUAUAAUGUAGUUGCUUGUCC